rnacentral:lncRNA from 1 species
UCAAGAGUAGCUUACACUAGCUGCCUCCAAUUCAUUGAUUCUCUGUUGAACUGACUCUCAUAAGGUUUUCAUCCCACUACUUCAUAGAAACUGCUCUUGUCAAGCAUCUGCGUGACCUCCAAGUUGUUAAAUUCACUGACCAAUUCUCAGUCCUUAUCCCACUGACCUCUCAGCAGCAUUUGCCGUAGUAAUCACUGUUUUCUCCUUGACACUCUUUCUUCCCUUGAUAUCCAGGAUCCACAUUCUGUCUCUCCUAAUACCCCACUGCCCUCACCUCCUCAAACUCUAGGGCUCAGUCCUUAGAUUUCUCUGCCCUCACCCCAGAGUGAUCACACCCAGUCCUGUGGCUCUAAAGGCCAUUUAUAUCUGGGGUGACUCCCAGUGAGUAUCUCCAGCCCAGCCCUCUCCUGUGGGUUCCAGACCCAUAGAUCUUGUAGACUACUCAAGACCUCAGUUUGGCUGUCUCCCUGGCAGGUCAAAUUUAACAGGUACAAGACUGAGCUCUUGAUCUUCCCCACACCCUGCUCCUCCAGAGGAUUUCCCACCCUGUUUACCAGAAAUUCAUCCUUCCAGUUACUCAGGCCCAAAACCUUGGAAUCACCCUUGCUCCUUUUCUGUCACACCCACAAUCCAUCCAUAAGCAAACUAUCUUCCCCCUCCCCUGAUUUCUCACCAGGGUUACUGCAGCAGCCUCCAGACUGGUUUUUCUGUUUUAACCCUUGCCCCUUCUGUCUGUGAUCCUGUUAAAAUGUCCAUCUGAUUGUUGAAAACUUCCAGUGGCUUUCCAUCUCACUCAGAAGGAAAACCUAAGUUCUUGCAGUGAUCAGUACUGCCUCACUGGUCUGCUCUGUUUCCUCUCUGAGGACAUUUCCUGCUGCGGGCCCCUCACUCUGGGCCACCCACACUGACUUUCUUGCUGUUUCUCAAGCUCACCAGGAUUUGAGCCAGCUGUUCCUUCUCCCUGAAGUGCUCUACCCUCAGGCAGUCACAUGGCUCACGCCCUUACCUUCAGGAGGUCUUGACUCUCAUCAUUUUCUCAAUUCAGUCUUGCCUGACCACCCUAUUUAAAAGUGAAGCCUUCUCCCUGGUGUAUCUCAGCACUUCCCUUCUCCUUCCCUGCUUGAUUUUUCUUCACAGCACUUACCACCAUCUGUGGUGGGUUGGAAAACAUGGCCACAGUAUUUUACAGCUACUCCUAUCAACCUGGGCUAGGCUUGUGACCAGUAGAAUGUGGCAGAAGUUAACGGUGUAUCAGCUCCAGAGCCUGGAACUGAAGAGAUCUUGCAGCUUCUGCCUUCACCCUUUUGGAAAACUGCUCUGAGGCCAUCAUGCUUUGAGGAAGCCCAGGAGGAAACACUGCAGAGAGGCUCAACCACCCCAGCUCUCCCAGCUGAGCUCAGCCACCCACCGAUCCCCCAGCUGAAUGCAACCAUAAGAGUGAGUCCAGGGACUCACCCCAUGCAAGCUCUGCAAGUGACAUUUCCCAGCCUCCCUUGCCC